GCCUUCAUGAAGCCGGAAUUGCUAGUAAUGGCAGGUCAGCAUACUGCCGUGAAUACGUUCCCGGGCCUUGUACACACCGCCCGUCACACCAUGAGAGUUGGGGAUACCCGAAGCCUGUGAGCCAACUAUAUAGAGGCAGCAGUCGAAGGUAGAAUCAAUGAUUGGGGUGAAGUCGUAACAAGGUAAC
rnacentral:rRNA from 1 species